GGGCCCGUGGCCUAGUUUGGAUAGGGCGCAGCCAGAAACAUAAUUGGCCGUAAGCCUUCGGAGGCCAGAUACCAAGGAGAGCCUGAGGUCGGGGGUUCAAUUCCCCCCGGGCCCGCCA
rnacentral:tRNA from 1 species